GAUUAGUGGAUAAAGCACGAAAAA
rnacentral:snRNA from 1 species